GGAUGAAAAAAAGAAACAGAAAGCGAAACAGAAAAAACGAAAAGCAAGCCAGAA
rnacentral:ribozyme from 11 species